GACGAACGCUGGCGGCGUGCUUAACACAUGCAAGUCGAACGGUAAGGCCCUGCUUUUGUGGGGUGCUCGAGUGGCGAACGGGUGAGUAACACGUGAGUAACCUGCCCUUUACUUUGGGAUAACUUCAGUAAACUGGGGCUAAUACCGGAUAUGAGCUCCUGCUGCAUGGUGGUGGUUGGAAAGUUUCGGCGGUUGGGGAUGGACUCGCGGCUUAUCAGCUUGUUGGUGGGGUAGUGGCUUACCAAGGCUUUGACGGGUAGCCGGCCUGAGAGGGUGACCGGCCACAUUGGGACUGAGAUACGGCCCAGACUCCUACGGGAGGAAGCAGUGGGGAAUAUUGCAAAAUGGGCGGAAGCCUGAUGCAGCAACGCCGCGUGCGGGAUGACGGCCUUCGGGGUGUAAACCGCGUUCGCCUGUGACGAAGCGUGAGUGACGGUAAUGGGUAAAGAAGCACCGGCUAACUACGUG
rnacentral:rRNA from 1 species